GAUUUGAAGGUCAAGGUAAGGGUAAUCAAUUAACAUUUGAGCUGAUAUAUUCACCCUUGAAAAAAAGUAGUAAGUGGAAUUGUGGAAAGCUUACAAGGAUCUUAGUUCAGUUAGCCCUCCAAUGUCACCACUCAACUUCCCCUUGAGACCCAUGCUAGACAAACCCCUGCAUCCAAAUCAAGUUUCAAAGGAUCACAGGCAAUGAGAAAAACCCAUCUUAGUCACCAUCAAUCAACACAUCCACUACUCGAAACAAGUUACUAACAAAGCAGAAACUCUUGAGUUUUUGCAGGUGACUCCUUCCCACGAUCCGCAUGGAUCAUCUGACUGUGUCCAGCUGGGCGGAAGGUUCCUCCAUAUCUCUUUUAACGAUUGCAGCGCUGCACCUGCAUUUUGUUCACGAGUACUCGAAUCAUUUCUCGAUGUAAAUGUAUCAAAUCGUCUAUAACCACUCAGUUUUUUUUCACUUACCGUCACGAGGGUCUGUGGCAGAUAAACUGACAUGAACUGCUGCACUGAAGAACAUAACAAAAGUAAGCAAUCCCCUCAUCGUUGCUAUCACACCCGAAUGCAGCUGGGCUAGCUAUCCCCAAAAAUGGUAUUGCUUGAUUUCGUUUCAGAAUCAACUAUACGCUAAGCAAAGGAGAUUGACCAGCAGCUGGAUCUGAUUACGCAGUGGCAUUGUGGAAUUGGCUGCAGUUUGAGAGGCAAACAGAGGAAGCGAAGAGUUAAGAGAAGUAAAAAGAAGGCAAAAGCGGAAAAAGGAAGGUACGUGGUAGUUAAAUUCUGCUAAAAUUUCAUAUAAAUUUGAUCAACUUUACUUGUGCCCAUCAGAUUGAAUGAUGUUAUCUUGUCUUAGAAGCCACUCUAUUGCCCCCCUCCCAUACCAACCACAAGUAUCUAGUAGGAUUAGUUAAGGGAAAAUGGAGCAUCAUGAUUAGAUCUCAUCUGCUAGUUACUACAAACUCAAGUCUUCUAAACCCCACUAACAAUCUUACAUAACAACCUAUGUCAAUGUGCAAUGUGUAAUGAUUCGACAUUUUUUUCAUUGAUAGUGAUAGCGGCGUGAUCAGGAUUUUGGCCAAGUGGGGUCCAUAAAAAAAUUAGUAAUUUUUUUUAAAUCUUCUCCUUUAGUAAUACUCCAUGAGGAAUUCUCAUGUCGAAAAAGGAUUACACAAUUUAUUGAUUACAUGAAAUGCUAACAACAUCUUUCUAUAUAUAGCCACAACCACAUAUUUAAUUAUUUAAUCUCUUAUUUGAUUGUCAAGUAAUCGAAUCAUACGAGUUUUGACUUAUUUUAAGUGGGGUUUAAAGUUCGAUGAUGUGUAGAUCAUCGAACAUCCCCUUUUUAACUUAGUGACACUAUAAUAUCCUUGCAUUUCAAAUACCUAUAUUUCGAAAUACAACCAUCGAUACACACCUGAAAUCUUAUUUCUCCCAUUAUGUACAUAGAUUCUAUGUCUACAAGCAUCACUAUCAUACAAAGCAUCAAAAUAUCAAAUCCAGUUCAUCUGCAGGCAAUGGCUGGCUGAUCAGCAUCAGAUUUCUGAAACGACUCUGAAGUGAGAGAUCUGGAUGUUUUCAACAGCAAACUUCUUGAAGUUGCUGCCUUUCCUG
rnacentral:lncRNA from 1 species